rnacentral:lncRNA from 1 species
AGUGUUAUUAAUGCUGAGGCAAUUCCAGAGGCAAUUCAGAGCCUUAUAAACAAGGGUUAUUUAGUAUCUCCUUUCUCCAUCAAGAAAGCUAGCAAUGCUGAAGAGAAGCAUUUGACCAGAGCCCAUGAAUCAGAAAAUUUACGCUUUCUCCCCUACGCUGACCACAAGGAUAAACCAGCCCAUGAAUCAGAAAAUUUACGCUUUCUCCCAUACGCUGACCACAAUGAUAAACCAGCCCAUGAAUCAGAAAAUUUACGCUUUCUCCCCUACGCUGACCACAAUGAUAAAUCAGCCCAUGAAUCAGAAAAUUUACGCGUUCUCCCCUACGCUGAUCACAAUGACAAACCAGCCCAUGAAUCAGAAAAUUUACGUUUUCUCCCCUACGCUGACCACAAGGACAAACCAACCCAUGAAUCAGAAAAUUUACACUUUCUCCCCUACGCUGACCACAAGGACAAACCAGCCCAUGAAUCAGAAAAUUUACGUUUUCUCCCCUACGCUGACCACAAGGACAAACCAGCCCAUGAAUCAGAAAAUUUACGCUUUAUUCCCUACGCUGAUCAUAAGGAUAAACCAGCCCAUAAAUCAGAAAAUUUACUCUUUAUUCCCUACGCUGAAAAUUAGUUGAAAAAUAACGUUCAACUAAAGACCUUGAAUGAUCAGAAAGGCUUAUUGUCUAAGCAUAUAUAUUCCAUGUGUGAUGAAUCUAGUUUGAAUGCAGGCGAGUCAUUGGAGGCCAGAUGCUACAAAAUAAUAACGACUAGCGUGGUACAAUUAGGCCUAUGGUUGUGAUUGUUAUCUAAAUUAAAAGUGAUUUGUGUCUGUAAUGUGUCUUAAUAUGUAUUUUGUGAUUGUGAUGAUAAAAACUAUCAGUUUGUUGUUUCUUUACCUAGAGGCUAGAUGAUUAGCCAAUUUACGUGCAUAAUUAUUUAGAAAUAAUUAGUCUGUUAUUCUUUGGGACUAACAACAGUAAAAUAGACCUACAAAGGAGAAAGGGUGUUUAAACACAUGAACUUGGGUCAAUUAUCACGUAGUAGUUUGUGAAAUUGGGUCAAUUAUCACGUAGUAAUAAUAUGAACUUACAUAUUAUUACUUCCUUUUGGAAAUGAUAAUCCACAUGCAGUAAUACCAUAUGAAUGGGUAAAAUCUCUUGCACCCUAAUAGGUUAUCUGAACCUCUUAGUUUUUUAUGAAAUCCAGCCCUGCACGUUGAAAAAUAUGACAGUAAGUAAAUUUUUAUACGAUUAACCAGUUCACAACUUAAUGAAAACAAAGAAGAGAUAUGCGGAUAGUAGCGACAAAGAAAAGAAUAAAAAAAAUAGGAGUCUCUCU